rnacentral:rRNA from 1 species
AGAGUUUGAUCCUGGCUCAGGAUGAACGCUAGCGGCAGACUUAAUACAUGUGAGUCGAGGGGCAGCGGAUCCCUCCGGGGAUGCCGGCGACCGGCGAACGGGUGAGUAACACGUAUGGAACCUGCCCUUAACUGGGAAAUAGCUUUGAGAAAUCGAAGGUAAUGUCCCAUACCAUCUGAAGAAGGCAUCUUUUUCAGAUGAAAGCUCCGGCGGUUAAGGAUGGCCAUGCGGUCCAUUAGCUUGUUGGUGAGAUAACCGCUCACCAAGGCUGCGAUGGAUAGCUGAUCUGAGAGGAUGAUCAGCCACAUUGGCACUGAGACACGGGCCAAACUCCUACGGGAGGCAGCAGUAGGGAAUCUUGGUCAAUUGGCGAAAGCCAGAACCAGUCAUGCCGCGUGCAGGAUGAAGGCCCUACGGGUCGUAAACUGCUUUUAUUCGGGAAGAAAAAGUCUGUUUCCACAGACCUUGACGGUACCGAUUGAAUAAGGACCGGCCAACUCCGUGCCAGCAGCCGCGGUAAUACGGAGGGUCCAAGCGUUAUCCGGAUUCACUGGGUUUAAAGGGUGCGCAGGCGGCUAAGUAAGUCAGUGGUGAAAGCCUUCGGCUCAACCGGAGAAUUGCCAUUGAAACUACUUAGCUUGAGUGCAGUAGAGGUAGGCGGAAUGUAGCAUGUAGCGGUGAAAUGCAUAGAUAUGCUACAGAACACCGAUAGCGAAAGCAGCUUACCACACUGUAACUGAC